rnacentral:rRNA from 1 species
AACUACCUGGAAUUCAUUCCCGCUCAAAGGGGGUGUAGAGCCAUGAUUAUAGGCAUUGCACCAAGGAGGAAGGCCGCGGCCGAUCAAGGUUGUUGGUGAGGUAAUGGCUCACCAAGCCUUUAACCGGUACGGGCCGUGAGACCGGUAGCCCGGAGAUGGGCACUGAGACAAGGGCCCAGGCCCUACGGGGCGCAGCAGUCGCGAAAACUCCGCAAUUCACGAAAGUGUGACGGGGCCAUCCCGAGUGCCAUCCGCUGAGGAUAGCUUUUCCCUAGUGUACAAAGCUGGGGGAAUAAGGAGAGGGCAAGCCUGGUGUCAGCCGCCGCGGUAA